UGGGGAAUCUUAGACAAUGGGCGCAAGCCUGAUCCAGCCAUGCCGCGUGAGUGACGAAGGCCUUAGGAUCGUAAAGCUCUUUCGCCAGGGAUGAUAAUGACAGUACCUGGUAAAGAAACCCCGGCUAACUCCGUG
rnacentral:rRNA from 1 species